rnacentral:rRNA from 1 species
AUUGAACGCUGGCGGCAGGCCUAACACAUGCAAGUCGAGCGGUAGCACAGAGAGCUUGCUCUCGGGUGACGAGCGGCGGACGGGUGAGUAAUGUCUGGGAAACUGCCUGAUGGAGGGAGAUAACUACUGGAAACGGUAGCUAAUACCGCAUAACGUCGCAAGACCAAAGAGGGGGACCUUCUGGCCUCUUGCCAUCAGAUGUGCCCAGAUGGGAUUAGCUAGUAGGUGGGGUAACGGCUCACCUAGGCGACGAUCCCUAGCUGGUCUGAGAGGAUGACCAGCCACACUGGAACUGAGACACGGUCCAGACUCCUACGGGAGGCAGCAGUGGGGAAUAUUGCACAAUGGGCGCAAGCCUGAUGCAGCCAUGCCGCGUGUAUGAAGAAGGCCUUCGGGAUGUAAAGUACUUUCAGCGAGGAGGAAGGUGUUGAGGUUAAUAACCUCAGCAAUUGACGUUACUCGCAGAAGAAGCACCGGCUAACUCCGUGCCAGCAGCCGCAGUAACAC